UAGGGAAUUUUUCACAAUGAGCGAAAGCUUGAUGGAGCAAUGCCGCGUGAACGAUGAAGGUCUUUAAGAUUGUAAAGUUCUUUUAUUUGGGAAGAAUGACUUUAGCAGGUAAUGGCUAGAGUUUGACUGUACCAUUUUGAAUAAGUGACGACUAACUAUGUGCCUGCAGUCGCGGUAAUACAUAGGUCGCAAGCGUUAUCCGGAUUUAUUGGGCGUAAAGCAAGCGCAGGCGGAUUGAAAAGUCUGGUGUUAAAGGCAGCUGCUUAACAGUUGUAUGCAUUGGAAACUAUUAAUCUAGAGUGUGGUAGGGAGUUUUGGAAUUUCAUGUGGAGCGGUGAAAUGCGUAGAUAUAUGAAGGAACACCAGUGGCGAAGGCGAAAACUUAGGCCAUUACUGACGCUUAGGCUUGAAAGUGUGGGGAGCAAAUAGGAUUAGAUACCCUAGUAGUCCACACCGUAAACGAUAGAUACUAGCUGUCGGGGCGAUCCCCUCGGUAGUGAAGUUAACACAUUAAGUAUCUCGCCUGGGUAGUACAUUCGCAAGAAUG
rnacentral:rRNA from 1 species